rnacentral:rRNA from 1 species
UACGGGGGGGGCAAGCGUUGUUCGGAAUUACUGGGCGUAAAGGGCUCGUAGGCGGCCAACUAAGUCGGACGUGAAAUCCCUCGGCUUAACCGGGGAACUGCGUCUGAUACUGGAUGGCUUGAGUUUGGGAGAGGGGUGCGGAAUUCCAGGUGUAGCGGUGAAAUGCGUAGAUAUCUGGAGGAACACCGGUGGCGAAGGCGGCAUCCUGGACCAACACUGACACUGAGGAGCGAAAGCCAGGGGAGCAAACGGG